rnacentral:tRNA from 1 species
GGGGGAAUGCCGGAAUUGGCAGACGGGCGUGACUUAGGAUCACGUGCCGAUGAGGCGUGUGGGUUCGAGUCCCACUUCCCCCACCG